AGAGUUUGAUCCUGGCUCAGGAUGAACGCUGGCGGCGUGCCUAACACAUGCAAGUCGAGCGAGGGUUUGCUCAGUAUUGAGUAUUCUAAGACUAGAAUGUUCAAUUCUGAGCAAAACCAAGCGGCGGACGGGUGAGUAACGCGUGGGUAACCUGCCCUAUACACAUGGAUAACAUACUGAAAAGUUUACUAAUACAUGAUAAUAUAUAUUUGCGGCAUCGCAGAUAUAUCAAAGUGUUAGCGGUAUAGGAUGGACCCGCGUCUGAUUAGCUAGUUGGUGAGAUAACUGCCCACCAAGGCGACGAUCAGUAGCCGACCUGAGAGGGUGAUCGGCCACAUUGGAACUGAGACACGGUCCAAACUCCUACGGGAGGCAGCAGUGGGGAAUAUUGCACAAUGGGCGAAAGCCUGAUGCAGCAACGCCGCGUGAACGAUGAAGGUCUUCGGAUCGUAAAGUUCUGUUGCAGGGGAAGAUAAUGACGGUACCCUGUGAGGAAGCCCCGGCUAACUACGUGCCAGCAGCCGCGGUAAUACGUAGGGGGCUAGCGUUAUCCGGAUUUACUGGGCGUAAAGGGUGCGUAGGUGGUCCUUCAAGUCGGUGGUUAAAGGCUACGGCUCAACCGUAGUAAGCCGCCGAAACUGGAGGACUUGAGUGCAGGAGAGGAAAGUGGAAUUCCCAGUGUAGCGGUGAAAUGCGUAGAUAUUGGGAGGAACACCAGUAGCGAAGGCGGCUUUCUGGACUGCAACUGACACUGAGGCACGAAAGCGUGGGUAGCAAACAGGAUUAGAUACCCUGGUAGUCCACGCUGUAAACGAUGAGUACUAGGUGUCGGGGGUUACCCCCCUCGGUGCCGCAGCUAACGCAUUAAGUACUCCGCCUGGGGAGUACGCACGCAAGUGUGAAACUCAAAGGAAUUGACGGGGACCCGCACAAGUAGCGGAGCAUGUGGUUUAAUUCGAAGCAACGCGAAGAACCUUACCUAAGCUUGACAUCCCUCGGACAGGUGUUUAAUCACACCCUUCCUUCGGGACUGAGGUGACAGGUGGUGCAUGGUUGUCGUCAGCUCGUGUCGUGAGAUGUUGGGUUAAGUCCCGCAACGAGCGCAACCCUUGUCCUUAGUAGCCAGCAGUCAGAUGGGCACUCUAGGGAGACUGCCAGGGAUAACCUGGAGGAAGGUGGGGAUGACGUCAAAUCAUCAUGCCCCUUAUG
rnacentral:rRNA from 1 species